rnacentral:rRNA from 1 species
AUGCUUGCUUUUCGGGAUUCACUUGAAGUGUGCGAGCUGACUAAUUUGGGUUUUGUUGGAAGGCCAUAUACUUUUGAUAAUAUGAGGAGUGGUGCAGCAAAUGUUAAAGUACGAUUAGAUCGUGGAGUUGCAAAUCUGGAUUGGAGGUACAUGUUCCCUGCUGCCUCAAUCCAUCAUCUUGUUUCACCCCGGUCGGAUCAUUGUCCAUUGCUUGUCAAGUGCGAAGCUGAUUCGGGCCCAAAACCUAAGAAAGUUAAGCGCUAUGAGAUCAUGUGGGAGAGGGAUUCUGCCCUCACAGAAGUUAUUGCAAACAUGUGGAAAGAUGCGGGCCAAAAACGUACACUUGGGGAGAUUGGUCAAGCUUUGGGGAAGGUAAUGACCUCGUUGCAUCAAUGGAGCAGAGCCAAAAUUGGCAAUGUAACUAGGGAGAUUGAGAAGUCUCGUACGAGGCUAGAGGAGCUAAUGAAUAUGAAUGCGGACCAAGCCGAACUGAGAAAGGAGGAGGAUAAAAUGAAUGAAUUACUAUAUCGAGAAGAGAUGAUGUGGUUGCAAAGGUCUCGUAUUGCUUGGUUAAAAGAAGGCGACCGAAAUACAAAAAUUUUCCAUGCCAAAGCGAUCUGGCGGGCGAGGCAAAACAGUAUUAAAAAACUUGAAGAUACAAAUGGGGUUGUUCAUUCUGGAGAUGCAAUGGGCCAGGCUGCUACUUCUUACUUUCAAAACAUCUUCACUGCCGACCCCUUGCUUGAUCCAUCUCCUAUUGUACAACUCAUGCAAACACAUGUUAAUGAUGAAAUUAAUGAGUCUUUAUGUGCUGAGUUUACUGAACAGGAGAUAGCGGAUGCUGUUUUCCAAAUUGGAACGCUAAAGGCCCCGGGAUUGGAUGGAUUUCCUGCUCGAUUCUUCCAAAUAAACUGGUCCACGGUGCGUGCAGAUGUUAUAGCAGCAGUUAAGGAAUUCUUUAACUCGGGUAUCACGCCAGAUUCUGUUAAUGAUACAAUCAUUGUUCUGAUUCCGAAAAUUCCUAACCCGGUUAAAUUAACUGAUUUUCGCCCUAUUAGCCUUUGUAAUGUUAUCUAUAAAGUUGUUGCUAAGUGCCUGGUGAAUAGACUGAGACCUCUACUCAAUGAUAUUAUUUCUCCUACUCAGAGUGCAUUUAUUCCGGGUAGAAUGACCACGGAUAACGCCUUAAUUGCAUUUAAGUGCAUCCAUUAUAUCAAGCAAGAGAAGGACCCAGAAAAAAGUUUUUGUGCUUACAAGCUU